rnacentral:rRNA from 1 species
AACGAACGCUGGCGGCAUGCCUAACACAUGCAAGUCGAACGAAGCCUUCGGGCUUAGUGGCGCACGGGUGCGUAACGCGUGGGAAUCUGCCCUUGGGUUCGGAAUAACAGUUAGAAAUGACUGCUAAUACCGGAUGAUGUCUUCGGACCAAAGAUUUAUCGCCCAAGGAUGAGCCCCGCGUAGGAUUAGGUAGUUGGUGGGGUAAAGGCCUACCAAGCCGACGAUCCUUAGCUGGUCUGAGAGGAUGAUCAGCCACACUGGGACUGAGACACGGCCCAGACUCCUACGGGAGGCAGCAGUGGGGAAUAUUGGACAAUGGGGGAAACCCUGAUCCAGCAAUGCCGCGUGAGUGAUGAAGGCCUUAGGGUCGUAAAGCUCUUUUACCAGGGAUGAUAAUGACAGUACCUGGAGAAUAAGCUCCGGCUAACUCCGUG